UGCUCAGAUAUCGAUGAAUGCCUCAAAAGAAAUACGUGCCACUAUAAUGCCAACUGUACCAACACUGACGGCAGCUUUAAGUGUGAAUGUCAGAACGGAUAUAGAGACCAGGUUGGGGUCGGGGGACAGCGCUGUGCUGAUGUAGAUGAGUGCGCGUUUGAUGGUGACUUUUUCUGUAUGCAUGCGCUAAACCAGACACGUGUAUGCGUGAACAUUGACGGAGGAUAUGUAUGUGUGUGCAAUAAGGGACUUACUGGAUCCAAAUGUGAAACCGAUAUCAUUGAAUGUAAUGACACGACCACGUGUGGUCCUCAUGCUGACUGUACCAACACGCAUGGUGGUUACUCAUGCGCGUGCCCGGACGGCUAUCCACAGGGAAACUCAUAU